AGAGUUUGAUCCUGGCUCAGAUUGAACGCUGGCGGAAUGCUUUACACAUGCAAGUCGAACGGUAGAGGGGGCAACCCCUCGAGAGUGGCGAACGGGUGAGUAAUAUAUCGGAACGUGCCCAGUCGUGGGGGAUAACGUAGCGAAAGUUACGCUAAUACCGCAUACGAUCUAAGGAUGAAAGCGGGGGAUCGCAAGACCUCGCGCGAUUGGAGCGGCCGAUAUCAGAUUAGGUAGUUGGUGGGGUAAAGGCUCACCAAGCCAACGAUCUGUAGCUGGUCUGAGAGGACGACCAGCCACACUGGAACUGAGACACGGUCCAGACUCCUACGGGAGGCAGCAGUGGGGAAUAUUGGACAAUGGACGCAAGUCUGAUCCAGCCAUUCCGCGUGCGUGAAGAAGGCCUUAGGGUUGUAAAGCACUUUCAGUGGGGAGAAAGGUCAUUCACCUAAUACGUGAGUGAAUUGAUGUUACCCACAGAAGAAGCACCGGCUAACUCCGUGCCAGCAGCCGCGGUAAUACGGAGGGUGCGAGCGUUAAUCGGAAU
rnacentral:rRNA from 1 species